CUACCUGUCGACGUCAUUACUGUCGACACCGACCGGGUUUCAAGUGUCGCGCUGGUUACAUCGUAGACAGGAACGGAUGUCGAACAUGCACGUGCAAACAGAUGUACAGUGGACUGUGUCCAGUGGUUAGAACGUACGGCAAGACGUUCUGUCGGCGGCUGGUGAUGAGGAACCAGUGUUCAGCACGAAAAAGGUGUCCCAGAGGAACAAUAUGUUGCAAAGGUGUGUGCGGUAGAAGAAGAUGUUUCAGACUGAGACGUGAGUUAGAUACGUUACAUCACACACACACAGACAGACAGUAUAUUAAUGGUGAACUAU